AUUGAACGCUAGCGGGAUGCUUUACACAUGCAAGUCGAACGGAGUGGCGGACGGGUGAGUAAUAUAUCGGAACGUGCCCAGUAGCGGGGGAUAACUACUCGAAAGAGUGGCUAAUACCGCAUACCAUCAGAGGGGCCGAUAUGGGAUUAGCUAGUUGGGGGGGUAACGGCUCACCAAGGCGACGAUCCCUAGCUGGUGUGAGAGGACGACCAGCAACACUGGGACUGAGACACGGCCCAGACUCCUACGGGAGGCAGCAGUGGGGAAUUUUGGACAAUGGGGGAAACCCUGAUCCAGCCAUCCCGCGUGUAUGAUGAAGGCCUUCGGGUUGUAAAGUACUUUUGGCAGAGAAGCGGUAUCUGCAGAAUAAGCACCGGCUAACUACGUGCCAGCAGCCGCGGUAAUAC
rnacentral:rRNA from 1 species